rnacentral:lncRNA from 1 species
GGAGUAUAAUUCGCUUUUUAAUUAGAACGACGUGUGUAAAUGACAGAAUACCACCACCCUGCGCAGAUGGCGGCCACAGAAUACGCAUCGAAUUCAUUCUGCCCAAGGAAGGGAGGGAGGGAGGACACAGCGGGGCGUGAGCCAGCAGUCCCCGCCCCCUUGGUCCUGCGAGUGAUGGGGUCACCGACUGUCGGCCUGCACACGCCUCUUGAACGGUAAGCAGAGAUCAAAAGCACAGCAGCAGUAAUACUGGGUAAGUCCUUCCUUGCGUAAAACAUCUGAAUUAAUUCAUUGAAGGUAUCAAAAAUAUACCCUGUAAACCAACACAUCAUUUACAUCUGCCUUUCCUUCCCACCGCUGCGGCAACGAUGUGUGAAAAAAACAGUCCAGUCCUCGGAGCAUCCGUUCCCCCCAGGCCGCACCUGGCCCUUUUGUCCGCCCACCUGGCCUGACUUGGUUUCCAGCAAUCUCGUUGGCUGGGGCAGUCUGUGGGGACCGGAACGAGCGCACUGGGGGCUGGACAGGGCCUGCGUCCAUCUGUCCAGAGCGCUAAGCGGGAUGGGAGGCGGAGGGAGGGCGCGGGGGCUGCGAGCUCAGUUUAGACUUUGGUUCCAAAUGCAUUCGGGGGAGGCAGUGGCGUGGAGGCGCAGGCGGACUCAGGGGCUCCUUCCUUGGUUGGGGGAGUCGGCAGCCGCCCUGCUCCUGCAGGGCCGUUCCUGUGGCUCGC